rnacentral:rRNA from 1 species
UACGUAGGGGGCAAGCGUUGUCCGGAAUCAUUGGGCGUAAAGAGCGUGUAGGCGGCCAGAAAAGUCCGCUGUGAAAACUCGAGGCUCAACUUCGAGCUGUCGGUGGAAACCAUCUGGCUAGAGUCCGGAAGAGGAGAGUGGAAUUCCUGGUGUAGCGGUGAAAUGCGCAGAUAUCAGGAGGAACACCGGUGGCGAAGGCGGCAUCCUGGACCGACACUGACGCUGAGGCGCGAAAGCUAGGGUAGCAAACGGG